UGGCAGAACGACACAGGUUGAUCGACCAAUCACAGCACGCGAACUCUAUAUUAAAGUCCUAAUCAUAGUAAAUUGUUUUCUUGACGAGAACAUCUUCGGUGACCGCUUCUCAGUAAAGUCCUGUGGUUGAUAAUUACCUUUUUCUCAUCUAACCCUCGAAGAGAGAGCGUCAUUACUCACACUCAAGACUGAGCAAGUUGACACUUCAGAGUCAUGCAUAUCACCUCGCUCAUUUUGGUGACUUUGCUUCUUUCUUUAUUACCUAUUCGUUUGGAAUCGAAAACAUUCCCCAACCUGGAAGAGAAUGAAGCGUUGAUGGGGCAGAGAGAAGUCAAGGAAGUUGAGAGAGUAUCGAUGAAUCAUGAUUCCCUACACGACCCAAGCUCUCUGAAGCUCUACCAAGAUAAAAGACUGCAAAAAAGACGGCCUCGUUUCCGCAUUAAGUGUAAAAA